UGUCACUGCGGCCGUGCAUAUGCAUGAAAUAGGUGUAUCCGGGGGUUAUCCGGAGUUAGUGGGGUUAACGGGAGGGGGGGCGGGGGUUUAAGACAGCUGUGAACUGCCGUGGCCCAACCAUGGAACUGCAGUUGAAACUGGAUCUCUUGAGAGUACAUAAGGAAUGCGGAAUUCGUGGUGUAGCGGUGAAAUGCAUAGAUAUCACGAAGAACUCCGAUUGCGAAGGCAGCUUUCCGGGGUACAUCUGACGCUGAAGCUCGAAAGUGCGGGAAUCAAACAGGAUUAGAUACCCGUGUAGUC
rnacentral:rRNA from 1 species